rnacentral:rRNA from 1 species
UACGGAGGGUGCAAACGUUGCUCGGAAUUAUUGGGCGUAAAGAGCGUGUAGGCGGCCAGGUAGGUCUGCUGUGAAAACUCGAGGCUCAACCUCGAGACGUCGGCGGAAACCAUCUGGCUAGAGUCCGGAAGAGGAGAGUGGAAUUCCUGGUGUAGCGGUGAAAUGCGCAGAUAUCAGGAAGAACACCCGUGGCGAAGGCGGCUCUCUGGGACGGUACUGACGCUGAGACGCGAAAGCGUGGGGAGCGAACAGG